ACCUUAUCUCAAUCAGUUAUCUUGCUGCCAAGGAAACUACUGCAAUAACCCAAACACCAUAUUCUCCUGCAAUGAUUGUUCUCUACAGUCUUGGUCGUCAUGCCCAUCGGGGUCUCCAUUUUGUUAUCCAUUUCACUUGACCUGUGCAGCAGUUCUACAACAUUAUAUCUACCCCUCUGGUUCUUUUUUUUCACAUUACUUUUUCACAACCUGCAUGGCUCUUGACCGAUGUAAUAAAACGUAUUCAUACAAUCCUGGAUUUUAC